GGCUUAGCAGUUGGUGGUGCAUUUCUUUCUUCAGCUUUGAAUGUUCUCUUUGAUAGGCUUGCUCCUCAGGGUGAUCUACUCAACAUGUUUCAGAAGCAUAAGUAUGAUGUUCGUCUCUUAAAGAAGCUGAGAAUGACUUUGCUUGGCCUUCAGGCUGUGCUAAGUGAUGAAGAGAAUAAGCAGACAUCAAAUCGACACCUGAGCCAGUGGCUUAUUGAGCUUCGCGAUGCUGUGGACGGUGCUGAAAACUUAAUAGAAGUCAAUUAUGAAGCUUUGAGACUUAAGGUAGAAGGCCAAAAACAAAAUCUUGCAGAAACAAACAACCAUCAAGUGAUACAAGACAAACAAGAGAAAACUAGGAAUCACAGACCAAAACAGUCCACAAGUUAAGAAACCGAGGACUAUCUUGGUGACCACACUCGGAUUCGCUAGUGAUAACAAUAAUGGAGAGAAUAUCACGUGUUUAACACAAUAAUCAGCCAGCCCCAACUAAGAUUAACAACAAUAUAUGAAGCACAAGAUGAACAUAACAAUGUGAAGAACACAACAAGACAAACGGCUCACAAUACAAGAUACCAAACCGUGACAAGAUUACAAAAAUGUAAAUGAUAGAAAGAUAGACAUACACUACUACAAAGUCUAAGAACCUAAUGUGUUCUCAAACACAAAGACCCUAAACAAUGAAAGUAGCAACACCUACACUCUUCAAAGAACACAAGAGGGAACUCAAUCCUUCAAGCAUCCAAGGUUCCAAGCAAACAAACAACAAGAGUGAAUUCACACUCUAAUUGUUACCUAGUUUCGGCCAAGCCCUUUUUGGGAGAGAACUUGUGUGUUUCAAGAGUGAGAUCAAUAUUCAAUAUCCAAAAACUAAGUGAAUAAACCCUAACAUGUUCCUUAUAUAUUACAAAACAAAUAGAAGUUAAAAUGACCCAAAAGGCCCUUCAAGAAUGGGCUGCCCCUCUAGUGUAUGGAGUGGGCUG
rnacentral:lncRNA from 1 species